CUCACCUGCCAACCACAGCUUUUCAGUUGGCUUCACCUCUCGCCCCGCCCCCGUCUUAUCACAUGGAGCAGCUGAGCCUCAUUGCUGCAGGCUGAGCCCCAGUCAGUCCGGACAGGAUCUAUAAUUGCUGUCUGCCCCUGCUGAGGUGUUCUGAGCAAGCUGGCUAAACAAGAUGCCAAAAUUCUACAGCUGUGAGGAACUGCAUCCUGCCAACAACCUGGAGAUGGUUGGAAGUGCUCGCCUUCCAUUGGAGCAUGCAGAUGAUACCCCACAUUCUCACAAGGACCCUGCUGUCUACCAAAGACUUCCAUCACUCCAUGAAAUAACAGGUCACACAGGGGAUCGAUGAGUGGCUUGCUCAGAGGUGGGAGCUGUGGCCCAACAGUGACCAAUAUCAAAGGAGGAAGCCCAGUGGGUCCACUAGCAGAAGUAGGUACUGGGUCUCUGGCACUGUAGCAGGCACAUAGCCUGAAGCUGCUUAUUUAUAGCCACUCCAGUGACCAAUGACACAAGUGGGCUGGCUUGUUCAUUUUUCUUUUAGAUGGAAAAAAUAGGACCUUAAGUAAGGAAGUGUGUGUCCUCUGCUCAUAUAUAACCAUUCCAUAUGCUUUGGAUAAUAGUUUCAGCACCAUCUAUAAAAUAACUAAAUGAAAUGUGUUUCUUUCAGGGGCAUUUGGACAGACUGUGCAUCUCGUAAUUCCUUCUUAAAUUUAAGACUUAAAACAUGGAUGUUCUUUUAAUCAUAGGAUACAUUUAUACCUAAAUACACUGGACCUAUACUUAUUUAUGUUUAUUGAGUUUUAUAUAUGAGAUAUUUCUCCUGCAUGAUCUCUGACUUUUAAUUAUGUUUUGAGGCUGGCGAGAUGGGUAAAGGUGCUUGUUGCUGAGUCUGACAACCUGAGUUCAAUACCUGGACCUAUACGUGGUUUAAGGACAAAACCGAUUCCCCAACACUGUCCUCUGACCCUCCCAGCAACACACAAGUAAGUCAUUUUUUUUUUAAUGUAAGAAAAUACAAACAGCGUUCUGGCAUUAUAAUAUUGCUUUCUUAACAGUGGAAUAUUCUGAACUUCCUUUUUAUUUACAAGAGAAGUGAAAUAAAAAUAACCAGAUAUGACUGCCA
rnacentral:lncRNA from 1 species